rnacentral:rRNA from 1 species
AGCGUGGAGACAGGUGGUGCAUGGCUGUCGUCAGCUCGUGUCGUGAGAUGUUGGGUUAGGUCCCGCAACGAGCGCAACCCUCACCUCUUGUUGCCAUCAGGUCAUGCUGGGCACUCUAGAGGAACUGCCCCGGUCAACGGGGAGGAAGGCGGGGAUGACGUCAAGUCAUCAUGCCCCUUACGUCCUGGGCUACACACGUGCUACAAUGGCCGGUACAAAGGGAUGCCACACCGCGAGGUAGAGCUAAACCCAAAAAGCCGGUCUAAGUUCAGAUUGGAGUCUGCAACUCGACUCCAUGAAGGAGGAAUCGCUAGUAAUCGCGUAUCAGCACGACGCGGUGAAUACGUUCCCGGGCCUUGUACACACCGCCCGUCACACCACGAAAGCCUGCUGUACUCGAAGUCGCUGAG